GGGUCCUUAGCUCAGUGGUAGAGCAGUUGCCUUUUAAGCAAUUGGUCGCGAGUCCGAUCCUCGCAGGGCCCACCA
rnacentral:tRNA from 1 species